UUCUGUGUGCGCUCAAAGGCUGUCUCCUCCCUCCCUUCUCUGGUGAAGCACCUUUUGAUUUCAACAGUUUCAUAGUGAGAGGCUUUGGCUCCUGCCCCUGCAGUCUGUUGGAUAAUACGGUGCUGCCUUUCUGGCAGUGGUGAGGACCUCAGAGGCUUUGACACCAGUUUGUACUUACAGUACAAGGAGGCAAACCUAUGUUUCUCUGUACUUUUUAAAUAUUGCAUUUUGAGGCCCAAACAAAAGAUACAGUCUGGAACAAUGGCCUGAAAUGAGGAACACAACCAAAGCAGCCGUGCAGGAAGCCUGCCGUUUCCCAUAGUUUGGGGACCUGGAGCCCUGAGCAGAUGCGUGGAAGUGGAAAAUGCCUCAAAUGACAGAAGCUGUAACAAAACAGUUUUGGCAGCUUCUGGAACUUCUCUGCCUGCUGGACCCCAGAAAAUCUGAUGCUAGAUACUGGUGAUGUCAGCUGAAGUUAGUAUGCUGAGCGGAGUGGGUAAAAGUUGGGCUCCUUGAUAAACUGUGUUUAAAUAAAACUGAGUGGUUUAUUGCUUUUAAUACCAUUUAUCUUAUGAAUGCUACUGGAAUAUAGGAAGAACUGAUGGAGUCAUUCCUAAGUGGAGUUGUUCCU